UAUAAAAAUAAAAUGAAAUUAGCAAUUUUUCUUUAUGAGUUUAGGUUGGUUAAACUUUUGCACCAGAGACAAUUUUUUUUAAGAGCGCGAUCAAAGAGCUCUCGCUGAGCUCUGAACAUAUAUCAAAAAUUAAACAAUUUAUUUUUAUCAGUUUGUUAGACAAAAAAGAAGCGGCAAAAACCCCUCCAAAACAUUUCAAUUGUCCAGACUAAACGAAGCAUUUCGCUUCAACUAAAUAAUUUGGGUCAAAACAUUUUACCCUUUAUCUCUCUCUCUUCUCUUUCUCCGUCGCCUCUCACUUCAUUUUGCUCUCUCACUCCGACCUCUGUCUCUCUCGCAUCUCCCCCUGAACUUCGGUCUUCAUCUCUCUCAACUCUUUCAUCCGGUCAAAAUUAGUAAGUACCAAAUAGUUGUAAUGGGGUUUCGGUGUAUCCACUGCAAUUAGCUUAAACUGAAGGAGAUCGACUCCAAUUAGCAUAAAUCGGGCUUCAAAUUGGUGGUUUAAAUUUGGGGAUUCUAUCAAGAGCCGGGAUGUUCUUCACAAGGGUAUGGAGAAGUAGAGGAGUUGGGUCCUUUUCUCACACAGAAAGGCAAGCCAGAGCUUAGCUUCAACAAGCACUCAUGGAAUAAAGGUACUGGGAAAAUGCACUAGCUAAAUGAAUCUUUUAAAUUCAAAAAAUUGGCUGAGGACUCGUAUAUAUUUCUGAUGGCAUACUUAUUCCAUGCUCUGUGGUAUACGCUCUUACUAUUCUGUUUCAGUUUUAUCAGCCCAAGACUGGUAUAUAUUUCUGGUGAACUUCACUUUGUAUCUUUAUGUGGUCUGCUUCAGAUAUGGGAUGGAACACAGUUCAAGAGGGUUCGAAAUUUGAGUGGACAUCAAACAAGGACCGGGGUGCUAGCCUGGAGUAUAUGCAUUUUAUCUUCCGGAAGCAGAGACAGGAAUAUCCUUCAGCAUGAUCUUCGCGUAUCGAAAGACUACAUCAAUAAACUUGUUGGCCAUAAAUCAGAGGCAAGUAAACGAAUAAAAUAUUUUAGAUGCCUUCUUGUCAAAUAUUUAGCGAUUGCUUUUUCAAUAAUGUUAUUGAGCUUAAAUUAUAUUGUGUUUCCAUGGACAACUUGUUUGCUUAACUUGACUAUUGAUUAUAUCGUAAUGAAUUAUAUUAUUUACUAAUGAGAGCAUAAAUUGAUUAGUUUAGUGGAUAAAAAGUUUGGGAUCGAAAAUGAUUUCCUGCCUUCUGUUGAUAUUGAUCCAACUAUGUUGUAUUAUUUUUUUGUGGUCUUAGCAGCUUAUACGGUGGAAAGGGGCAAAGUAUGUAUUAAUUUAGCUUUUCAUACUUAAUUAAUACCUACCGUUAGGAACUUAUAAGUUUGCAAUUCUCUUAUGUUGGCAGAUGUGAAGAACACAUUCAGAAGAAAUUGGUUAAAGGAAUCUUCAUAUGUGCUGCUCGACAAUGGUUCAAGUCAUUUCUCUUAAGAAAGAUGAAUUUGAUUCACAUAUCUUGCACUUCAGUUAUGUGGAAAAUGAUGUAUUUUAUGUAUAAAAAAGGAUGAAUUUGUACAAACUUUGAUUUGGUAGUUAUUUUGGUUUGUAGCUACUUGGAUUUGGUUGGAUUUAUUAGGUUGUUUAAUAUUUAAACAAUAUAUUUUCAAUUCCUUUCAGUAAA